GACGAACGCUGGCGGCGUGCUUAACACAUGCAAGUCGAACGGAAAGGCCCUGCUUUUGUGGGGUGCUCGAGUGGCGAACGGGUGGGUAACACGUGAGUAACCUGCCCUGUACUUUGGGAUAACUUCAGGAAACUGGGGCUAAUACCGGAUAGGAGCUCCUGCUGCAUGGUGGGGGUUGGAAAGUUUCGGUGGUUGGGGAUGGACUCGGGGCUUAGCAGCUUGUUGGUGGGGUAGUGGCUUACCAAGGCUUUGACGGGUAGCCGGCCUGAGAGGGUGACCCGCCACAUUGGGCCUGAGAUGCGGGCCAGACUGCUACGUGAGGCAGCAGUGGGGAAUAUUGCACAAUGGGCGGAAGCCUGAUGCAGCAACGCCGCGUGCGGGAUGUCGGCCUUCAGGUUGUAAACCGCUUUCGCCUGUGACGAAGCGUGCGUGACGGUAAUUGGUCAAGAAGCAACGGCUAACUACGUG
rnacentral:rRNA from 1 species